CUCAGUAGAAAAGUACCAUACUUUCCACACUCACAAAAGUAAAAGAAUGUAACAGAGGGAAAAUAUCCCCUCUGUACACAAACAGGUAUGUACUGCACCUAAACACAUGCGCACACCCACAUAAACACCAAGCACAAACAGGGUACAGCACCAAAAUUGUGACAUUGUACGGAGAAAAUUACAUUCCCAUUGUUGUCUGGGCUGCAGGCAGACACGGAGAGUGUCUGUUCCACACAAUGAUCUGUCAUGUAACUUCUGCACCUCCCUCAUUUUGUCUAAGGACAUAAGUCUCCAAAAAGGAUGGAAUAUAUUCUGCUGAGCUGGCAAAGCAACUACAGACAAAGACUACAGAACGCACUGAGCAGGGACUGACAUCUGCAGAGCGCACAAUGAGUGUACUUGCGUUUGCAGCAGAGGGGAAGGCACAGAUGGGAGAGAGGAGCAGAGAAAAGCUGCAGAUCGAUCUGGCAGGCGAAAUGCAGAGUGGCACAGAUCAGGUGGAGGAGCAGAAGUCACAGGGAAGAAGGUGAGACAGUCAAUGGAUACCCUCAGGGCUUGAGGGAAGCAGCUGCACACUAGAAGCCCAGCGAAUCUCACCAUUGGGACCCAAAGGGCAACAAGAGUCAGAAUGCAGAAACAGGCAGGUGACAAGGAAUGAAGAAGAAUUUCAUGUUGGAUUUCAGGGGAAAAGCAUAGCUGAUACAAUAAUGCAGGGCAAAAUGGGACGUGAAAAUCAAAGGAGGGGAUGUGAAAUGAAUUUUGUAUGUAAGAUACAGGAUGUCACAAAGAGAAGCCGGGGAGAGGGCCAUGGGAAGAGUGCUGCCAAGAACACAGGAUGUUGUGUCAAGGCCUGUUUGUGCAUUAUGUGAAGAUGUCUUUGCCAAGGGAUAUGUGUCAAUGUAAUUAUGUGUUUUCAGUGGUAGAGUGUGUAAAGGAAAAGGAUCCUGGAAAAUAAAUUCUGGAUUGGUGAGGAGAACAGCAGAGCAAUGAGCCACGCACCUUCUGACAAGCAGAAGCAGAGAGGAACAACAUCUGGCCACUAUAUAGAUUAUUUUGGUUCCUAUUUUAGGUGUAUAUCUAGAAAUUAAGAUUUUCUUCUUGUGAAAUGGAAGGAUGAAAGAGGAGUACUUGUACCAAACCAGGGCUGGAAUGCUGAUAGCAGCUAGACCUGAGAAAUUGGCCAGAUCGGUUUUGUGAAACAGUAGGGGGGAAAAAAAUUAGUGCAUGCAUUUUCAUAAUUUGGUUUAUUUUGGUACUAGUCUAGAUGUGUGCGUCUGAGUUACAGGACUGUUUUUUGGGGCAGGCACUCUGCACUGUGUAUAGCUGCGAAGAACAUCAGUCAGUCAGAUCAUGAGAGAAGCAGCUGUAGCUGUGGAGGAGACGAGACAACAAGCUGGGUAGCUUCUACCUCCCUGUCACACAGAUUAUAAUUUAUCCAGUAUCUUUCCUACAGG
rnacentral:lncRNA from 1 species